rnacentral:lncRNA from 1 species
UGGUUCACUGGCUGUGGGUGCAGACAUCAGAAUGGAUGGGGUGGAGGCACCUAAAGGUGGGACUCAGCUGCAGAGGUGAGCUUUCUCCUUACUCAGCAUCCUCCCAUCCUGGCUGGGUGAAAUGUGCGUGUGUAUGUGUGCAUAGGUCCACAGUUGUGCAUGUAUGCCUGUGGAUCUGUGUCUGUAAGUGAAUGUGGGCUUGUGUUUGUAUGUGUGUUGUAUAUGUGUGUCUGUGUCUGUGAGUGUGUAGGUGCCCAUUUGUCUGUGCAUAUGUACAUGUGUGUUUGCCACUGUGUGUGCGUGAGUGUGUGUGCCUAUGUCUGAGUGCAUAUGUGCUGGGGGGGCUCUGUUGAAUCAGCACUGGCGCUGGGCAGGUGGCACUCCUAGGCAGGCUGUGGCCUCCCUACAGUGGCAUAAACACUGGUCCCAGCUUCCCCCUCAAG